AGGCACUUAGGAUAAUUUAGACCAAGAGCCUUCAAAGCUUUAAGUGGAAGUUAAAAUCUUCUGGUCCCUG
rnacentral:tRNA from 1 species